rnacentral:rRNA from 1 species
GGUUCGAUUAUGGCUCAGAUUGAACGCUGGCGGGAUGCUUUACACAUGCAAGUCGAACGGCAGCACGGACUUCGGUCUGGUGGCGAGUGGCGAACGGGUGAGUAAUGUAUCGGAACGUGCCUAGUAGUGGGAUAACUACGCGAAAGUUGCGGUAGCUAAUACCGCAUACGCCCUUCGUGGAAAGCGGGGGGACCUUUCGGGCCUCGCACUAUUAGAGCGGCCGAUAUCGGAUUAGCUAGUUGGUGGGGUAACGGCUCACCAAGGCGACGAGAUCCGUAGCUGGUUUGAGAGGACGACCAGCCACACUGGGACUGAGAUAUCAUUCAGACUCCUACGGAGGCAGCAGUGGGGAAUUUUGACAAUGGGGGAAACCCUGAUCCAGCCAUCCCGCGUGUGCGAUGAAGGCCUUCGCUGUAAAGCACUUUUGGCAGGAAGAAACGGCACGGAUAAUACCCGUGCAACUGACGGUACCUGCAGAAUAAGCACCGGCUAACUACGCCAGCAGCCGCGGUAAUACGUAGGGUGCAAGCGUUAAUCGGAAUUACUGGGCGUAAAGGCGCAGGCGGUUCGAAAAAGAAAGAUGUGAAAUCCCAGAGCUUAACUUUGGAACUGCAUUUUUAACUACCGAGCUAGAGUGUGUCAGAGGGUGGUGGAAUUCCAUGUGUAGCAGUGAAAUGCGUAGAUAGCGGAGGAACACUGAUUGCGAAGGCAGCCUCCUGGGAUAACACUGACGCUCAUGCACGAAAGCGUGGGGAGCAAACAGGAUUAGAUACCCUGGUAGUCCACGCCUCUAAACGAUGUCAACUAGCUGGGGCCUUCGGGCUCCGGUAGCGCAGCUAACGCGUGAAGUUGACCGCCUGGGGAGACACGGUCGCAAGAUUAAAACUCGCAAAGGAAUUGACGGGACCGCAUGCCGGUGAUGAUGCGGAUUAACGAUGCGCCCGAAAAAUCCUCUAUCACCUGAUACGUCUGAAUCUAAAAGAUUGGAGCUCGCAAGAGAACCGGAACACAGGAAGUGCAUGCUGUCGUCAUUCGGGGCCGGGAGAUAUGGUUAAGUCCGCAACGAGGCGCAACCCCUGUCAUGAAGCGCACAGUGGCUCAAUUUAACAGACUGUCGGUGACAACCGAGGAAGGCGGUGCGGUAGAUGACGUCGUUCCUGCUGGCCUUAUAGCACACGUCAUACAAUGGUCGGGACAGAGGGUCGCCAACCGCGAGGGGGAGCCAAUCCCGAAACCCGAUCGUAGUCCGGAUCGCAGUCUGCAACUCGACUGCGUGAAGUCGGAAUCGCUAGUAAUCGCGGAUCAGCAUGUCGCGGUGAAUACGUUCCUGGGUCUGUACACACCGCCCGUCACACCAUGGGAGGCCUUACCAGAAGUAGUUAGUCAACCGUAAGGAGAGGGCGAUUACCACGGUAGGAUUCAUGACUGGGGUGAAGUCGUAACAAGGUAA